rnacentral:rRNA from 1 species
CCCUUAGAUGUUCUGGGCAGCACGCGCGCUACAAUGGUCUUCGCAAACGGAUGCAUUCUCGAAGGAGAAUGCCAAUCUUGGAAUCUAUGCCCUGGUCGGGACAGUUGCUUGCAAUUUUUCGACUCGAACCAGGAAUUCCUUGUAAUCGUGAUUCAUCACAUCACGAUGAAUACGUCCCUGCCCUUUGUACACACCGCCCGUCGCUCCUACCGAUCGAAGAGUUAGGUGAAUUGUUUUGAUCGAUAAGAUUUGACUAUGGUCAACUCUCGUUGUGAAAUUCUGUGAAUCUGACUGUUUAGAGGAAGGAAAAGUCGUAACA